UACGUAGGUCCCGAGCGUUGUCCGGAUUUAUUGGGCGUAAAGCGAGCGCAGGUGGUUUAUUAAGUCUGGUGUAAAAGGCAGUGGCUCAACCAUUGUAUGCAUUGGAAACUGGUAGACUUGAGUGCAGGAGAAGAGAGUGGAAUUCCAUGUGUAGCGGUGAAAUGCGUAGAUAUAUGGAGGAACACCGGUGGCGAAAGCGGCUCUCUAGCCUGUAACUGACACUGAGGCUCGAAAGCGUGGGGAGCAAACAGG
rnacentral:rRNA from 1 species